rnacentral:misc_RNA from 1 species
ACGGCUGUCGUAGUAGUAGCAGCAGCGGGAGCAGUACUCGCAGCAAUAACAGUGCUAGUUUCCCCACCAAUGUUACCAGACCCAUCUCCACCGCCGCCGCCGCUGGAAGAACCAUCACCGAUUUCAACACCUUGGCUGACUGAUACCGAAAUAUUGGCCGGAACAGCUGCCGCAGUAACCGCAGCAGGCCGUUUCCGUUUCUUCUUCUC